CGCCUAUCGAAAGGGAAUUGGGUUAAUAUUCCCAAACCAGGACGUGGAUAUUGAGUGGUAACACAACCAAAGCCGGGUACGAUGGCGGGAGCCCUGGGGAGAGUUCUCUCUUCUUGUUAACAAGCACACUGACCCUGGAAUCGGAUUGACCGGAGAUAGGGUUGGAGUCUUGGAAAAGG
rnacentral:rRNA from 1 species